AAGCUGUGAGACGACGGAGUGAAGAGUGAAGGCGAUUGCGAGGGGCUGAGGGAAUUGUCCUCUGUGCAAGGGACUUUCAUUAGUCCCCAGGCCCCUGCCUGCUCCUGCCGUCAGCAGGUUAGUAAGCAAGACGAGCAUGGGGGUGGCAACAGUCGAGAUGUCCUUCCCCCUUUGAAGAUCAUCCUUCUUUUGCUGCUGCUGUUAUUGGUUUGUCUUGGUUUAAGGCCCACUGAAUGGGGGCGCCUCACUUCCGGUUGGGGGAAGGGAGACAUGCUGUCAUAGGGGAGGGGGAACUGUAACUCACUUCCUGUGGGGGUAGGAUGAUGUUUGGGGGGUGUCCAAGCCACUUCCCGUGUUGAUGAGAGCCAGAAAAGGUGUUGGUUUGUGCCAUUCUCAGAGAGAGUUCCUACAGCCUUGGGGUUGUAUUUUCACGUCACAAGUUCGGUUAUUUCCCCAAAUUAUGAUAAUCACCAGGCCACGAUCAGAAUUUAUGUAUUUUGUUUCUGUGUGUAAAUUGGAAAAUCUCUCCCCAGCAAGAUUGUCUUAAUGCUGUCUCCAAAGAAUUUUAAACACCUUGUUAAAAUUCUCUGCAAGAUUACAUACUUUGUUAUGUGACUUGUGAAUUGCCCACCCUUGCACCCAAGUCAAGCUUGUCCUUAACUGAGUGAAGUAGUGUAGGCUCUACCUAGACACGGAACAGGAGCUCCUUAGCCGCUCUUUUAAGGAGGUAGUUUAUAAGUUAGAGUACCGAAUAGUUCACACAAAUUACAGGGCAUUUUCAUGUUUGCAGAGGGAGAGAGUGUCAUGCUGCAGUACUCCGAUUUGAUGUUACCGUAAUAAAGGGCACUAAUGUGUUACAUACUUAGAACUGUUCCUUUAGGACUUAAGGAUUCACCUCAUGCUGGAGAAGACAUCAUCCACUUUAGUGUUGUUUUCAUGUAGCUUUCUUGGGAUGUUUAUGAAAGAUGCAUUUUAUGGUGUCUCCCCGUUUGUAAUUUGAGUUUGUUACUGAUUGAAAAAUGAGGUCUAUUUAUGGUUUUAAAACCUGGCCAAAGGAUGGCAAGUUCAGUGACGUACUGAGUGAGAGGAAAAUGUCUCGGGAAGAACUAAAGAUGAGGCAGACAGAACUUUCUGGUUUUCUAUAUUCUGCUUAAAACACACACACACAAACAAAUAAGAAACUAUAUCUGAAGUAAUAAGCAACUAUUUUGAUUCCUUGCAACACAGUAUACAAGUGUAUGUUUGUUGGCAGAAUCAGUGUAUUUGGAAUGGUUUUUUAAAAACUUUGGCUAUCAGGUGAACCUAAAAUUGCAUUGUCUUCCAAUAUUAAGGUGCAUGUAUUUCUAAUUUCAUAGUUUGCACUUACAAUAGAAAAUAUUUUAAACUAAAUGUGAAAAUAAAAAUACUUUAACCUUAACAUGAACAUUAAAAAAAUAUUCUUGGUCAUUCUAGAAACACCAGGACUGGCACACAUAUGUGCUCACAGAGACUGUAGCAGCAGGCACAGAGCUGCACAGGUCUACACCACAUGGAGUCCUAGAGCAGAAAAGAGAGGUAGACACAUGUGCCCAUCCCUAACCCAGAAGCUAUCUCCAAUUUAUAGCCAUUUACAAAUGAAAAAUUACUUUUCUCCAAAGUAGUCUCACUGAAGAAACGCUCUUAAGGGUAGGCCCCAUGGCCAUCACAAUAUGAACUCAGCAAAUCUUUGGAGGUUCCAUGUAUUUUUUUCUUUAACCUUAUGUUUUUUGUGUAAAUGUUAUGGCUUCCAAUUUGGGUUUAGGGUGUGUCUCUGCAUCUAUGAGUUUUGUGUGCUUUUUCUUUGGCUCUUUUUCUUGUUUGUUUUGCCCUAUUCUGAUAGUGUGUUUUAUUGUAUUUUUUCCUUGGAUGCCUGUUUGUUUUCUAAUAGAGACAGAAAGGGGGUGAGUUCAGAUGGGAAGCGUCAGGAGUGGGGAAGCUAAUCAAAAUAUGUUGUAUGAACAAAAUCUAUUUUCAAUUAACAGGAAAGAAUUAUUUUUAGGCUGGAAGUAUAGCUAAGUGGUAGAGCACUUGUCUACUGUAUGUAAUAUGAGCCUCUGGAUUUGGGGUUUGAUCACCAGUACUAACAGGAAAAAAAACAAAAACAAAAACAACCCAACCUGUCUAAUUUUGGUGGUGCACGCCCUUAAUCCCAGCACUCAGGAGGCAGAAGCAGGCGAAUCUCAGUGAGGUCCAGGCAACCUAGUUUACAUAGCGAGUUCCAGGCCAGCCAGAGGAACACAAUGAGACCUUAUCUCAAAAAUAAAUGACAUAUCAGUCUGGUCGGCUUGGAAUGGCGCUGAGUGCUAGAGCACCACCUGCCUCCUAUGUAGGGGCUUCCAUUUCAGCCCCAACACCACCACCAUCACCAAAAAUAACAUUUCUGAGGUGCUAAAAUCAGUAUUUGAAAGGCUACAAAAUUGCUGCAGUAGUUAAUUUUAAAAAGACAAGAAAAAUAUUGUCUAUGGUUAUUCAUAGAGGUUAGGGACAUGUACACUGCACCCAGUGGCUGUGAACUGACAAGGAAGUGAGUGUGCAGUAUCUUCUCCAUGAAUGCACAAGGCUAGAUAGAGUCACCCUGAACAGUUAACGCUAGUGUUAGGAAUUGGAACAGGGAGGGACUAAUCGAGAAAGUGAGAAAAUAACGUCUUAAUGUUGGUUGCGAUUCAGUAGUACUGCCUUCUGGGAACAGUUUUGGAAAGCAAAGGAGUUUAUGAAAUUGAUCCUGAAGAUAUUCUGUGGGAGGCAUGCAAGGUAAUAGAAAUAAGACAAAUUGCUGUGGCAAGGUAUGUGCAGCUUGAAGAACUGUCUGUGGAGAAGAAAGCAAUAUAGAAAGUACCUAUCAGGAAGAUGCUUUGUGCUAAGUGACGGUUAUUCAUUGGUCCCAUCAAAGAAGAAUUAUUAGGUACGCUGCUGAAAAAUAGAGAAAGGAAGCCUACGUGGCCUAUUCCUCCUCCUCUUUAAAGAAUGUUUCUGUGGAAGGGCUUAUCUCCUCCCAAGGGAUUUUCCCAUAAUGCCCCUUUGUUGCUUUUUAAAAAUCUAUCCCUAGUGUCAAAAUUAGGAAAAGAAAAGCCAUUUGCAAACAUACUGUUACUUCUAUGAUAGAGAAGUCGUUGAUUAGAGUAUUUUGAUUAAGUAACUAUUUUCUUUUCCUUAAAGCAGGCAUGGCAUACACUGCUCAGAGCAGUUUGAAACAUUAAGACAGUAAGCCAGAAUCCUGGAGCCCAUCUCAUUGGAAUUUGAUUAUCUGCACAGAUGCUACAUAGCUCAAAAGUCUCUCCACAUCCUUUUGUUUACCCUGUCCUGUAAAGCUAACGCUAGUGUGUUAUAACCUGGGCUAUAACCUGCGGCUUCACUUGGUACCUCCGUGGUGGUGGUUUUGGUUUCUGCUUUGUAGCUGAGGGCUAAAAGGAGCAGUCGAGCAGCUUAAAUGAUUGUACCUAUUUCUUUGCUGUCUUUUAUUUCUGUACUUUCAUAUGUAUUUAAAUGAAAAUUUAGCUUACAUGGUUUUUCAUUAUUUCAACAAACACUGAAUCCUGCUAUGUAUCAGUCACGAUCUCACUUCAAGAACAGAAAUUACAAAUACCCUUUUUCUCUUGGGGCUUACUUCCUAGCUGAUAGAUCAAAGCUAGAAUUUUGCUUGCUUGGUGUUUUGGAAUGAGAUGUUAUCAGCACUAUUCAAGCUGGACUAAGAUGCAUCCCUAAGUUUGCUAUCUCUUGAUUUCUAAGCCAUUGUAGAACUUGUUUUGAAUAUUUCCUUUACUGUUACAUGCUUCACAGUCUCACUGCUUAACUUGCCUUGUACCGUGUUUGAGUGAAUAACGGCAGGGAAAACUGGAGCUCCGAAAGGCCUAGACUCAAAGCUAGACUUUGUGUUUCAUUGGCUUCAUCAGCUUGAGCAGUUAGCUUCUGUGCGCCUCUCUGCUCUGACUGUGACUCCUUGGUCAAAGGGGGAAUUACAUGGGAAUCACUUGGUGUAGUCCUGGGGUUGGAGCUUAAUGAACGUUAUUGUUUAACCCCAGGCUUGCCUCAACUAUGCAGGCUGCUGGGAUCCACCUCUUUUGAGCCACACAGAAUAUUGUAGUAGAUUCAUUGACAUCCUGCCGUCUGUCUUCUGUCAGCAUGCUAAGUAGUCAGAAUUGUGUUUGUUUCUUGUG
rnacentral:lncRNA from 1 species